rnacentral:sRNA from 1 species
GGAACUAUUUCUUCCUGCAGGUAGUGAGAGGAGGUGAUAGUCGUGAGUUACUUAUUCGAGCUCUUUCUCAAUGUUAUGGCAAAUGUACUGGCAUAUUUCAUUUGCAAAUGGCUGGACGAUGAGGAUAAACGGUAGUCAGCCUAGAAACACUCGUUAAUCUGAAAAGAACGUAAAAAAGCCCUAAAGGACUGGCAUUCUCUAGGGCUUUGGUGUAGUCUUGAG